CGGGGGAAGAGGAAAUGCCAGCCCCAGGCUUCAACUGGGCCUUCUCCAGAGGCCAGCAACCCCAAACUGCAGAACGGAGCAGGGAGAGCCAGUGGGAAACCUACAUUGAAGCCCCACAACCCACCAGCGUGUACCCAAGAUGGUUGUCAGAGGA